CCUACGGGGGGCAGCAGUGAGGAAUAUUGGUCAAUGGGCGAGAGCCUGAACCAGCCAAGUCGCGUGAGGGAUGACGGUCCUAUGGCUUGUCAACCUCUUUUGUCGGGGGGCAAAAGACGCCACGCGUGGCGUUCUGAGAGUACCCGCAGAAAAAGCAUCGGCUAACUCCGUGCCAGCAGCCGCGGUAAUACGGAGGAUGCGAGCGUUAUCCGGAUUUAUUGGGUUUAAAGGGUGCGUAGGCGGAAGUUCAAGUCAGUGGUAAAAUUGUGGGGCUCAACCUCUGCGAGCCGUUGAAACUGGUGUUCUUGAGUGGGUAAGAGGUAUGCGGAAUGCGUGGUGUAGCGGUGAAAUGCAUAGAUAGCACGCAGAACUCCGAUUGCGAAGGCAGCAUACCGGCGCUCAACUGACGCUGAUGCACGAAAGUGUGGGUAUCGAACAGGAUUAGAUACCCGUGUAGUC
rnacentral:rRNA from 1 species